rnacentral:rRNA from 1 species
UCCGAGUGGUGUGGAUGUUUAUUGGGCCUAAAGCAUCCGUAGCUGGCUAAGUUAGUCCCUUGUUAAAUCCACCGAAUUAAUCGUUGGAUUGCGGGGGAUACUGCUUGGCUAGGGGACGAGAGAGGCAGACGGUAUUUUCGGGGUAGGGGUGAAAUCCUAUAAUCCCGGGAAGACCACCAGUGGCGAAGGCUGUCUGCUAGAACGCGCCCGACGGUGAGGGAUGAAAGCUGGGGGAGCGAACCGGAUUAGAUACCCGGGUAGUCCCAGCUGUAAACGAUGCAGGCUAGGUGUUUGGACGGCCACGUGCCGUUCUAGUGCCGCAGGGAAGCUGUUAAGCCUGCCGCCUGGGGAGUACGAUCGCAAGAUUGAAACUUAAAGGAAUUGGCGGGGGAGCACCACAAGGGGUGAAGCUUGCGGUUUAAUUGGAGUCAACGCCGGAAAUCUCACCGGGAGCGACAGCAGUGUGAAGGCCAGAUUAAAGGUCUUGCCAGACGAGCUGAGA